ACUACCGUGGCCUAAUGGUUGGAGCGUCGGCCUCGGAUGAAGAAGGUCGCGGGUUCGGACCCCGGCCGAGUCAAGCG